rnacentral:rRNA from 1 species
GACGAACGCUGGCGGCGUGCCUAAUACAUGCAAGUCGAACGCAGUGGGGACGGGUGAGUAACACGUGGGUAACCUCCCAUCAGAGGGGAUAACACUUGGAAACAGGUGCUAAACCGAUACUGAUGGAUGGACCCGGGGUGCUUGAGCUAGUUGGGGGGGUAACGGCUUACCAAGGCCCCGAUGCAUAGCCGGCCGGAGAGGGUGAUCGGCCACACUGGAACUGAGACACGGCCCAGACCCCUACGGGAGGCAGCAGUAGGGAAUCUUCGGCAAUGUACGCAAGUCUGACCGAGCAACGCCGCGUGAGUGAAGAAGGUUUUCGGAUCGUAAAGCUCUGUUGUUAGAGAAGCGGUAUCUAACCAGAAAGCCACGGCUAACUACGUGCCAGCAGCCGCGGUAAUUC